rnacentral:rRNA from 1 species
UUCCUACGGGAGGCAGCAGUGAGGAAUAUUGGUCAAUGGGCGGAAGCCUGAACCAGCCAAGUCGCGUGAGGGAAUAAGGCCCUACGGGUCGUAAACCUCUUUUGCCGGGGAGCAAGGGCCGGGACGCGUCCCGGCCCGGAGAGUACCCGGAGAAAAAGCAUCGGCUAACUCCGUGCCAGCAGCCGCGGUAAUACGGAGGAUGCGAGCGUUAUCCGGAUUUAUUGGGUUUAAAGGGGGCGUAGGCGGGCUUUUAAGUCAGUGAUAAAAAUUCGGGGCGCA